rnacentral:rRNA from 1 species
AUACGUAGGGAGCGAGCGUUGUCCGGAAUUACUGGGUGUAAAGGGAGCGUAGGCGGGAGUGCAAGUCAGAUGUGUAAUACAUGGGCUCAACCCAUGGGCUGCAUUUGAAACUGCAUUUCUUGAGUGAAGUAGAGGUAAGCGGAAUUCCUGGUGUAGCGGUGAAAUGCGUAGAUAUCAGGAGGAACACCGGUGGCGAAGGCGGCUUACUGGGCUUUUACUGGCGCUGGAGGCGGGAAGCGGGGGGAACAAACAGGAAUAGAUGCCCUGGUAGUCCACGCUGUAAACGAUGGUUACUAGGUGUGGGGGGACUGACCCCUUCCGUGCCGCAGUUAACACAAUAAGUAAUCCGCCUGGGGAGUACGGCCGCAAGGUUGAAACUCAAAUGAAUUGACGGGG